UUUCAAUCCUGUGCCAUCCCCCUCCGUUCUCCCACACAUCAUGUGCUCUGUGGGACAGCAAAGAUGCUCAAGGUCAAAAAUGCAUCGAUAUCCAACUGCGAACGAGACCUGCAAUUUCCCUUCUCUCUCCUCUGCAACGCCCAUCUCCCGUGCCAGGCAGGGACAUGGAGGAGCAGCUUCUCACAUCCCCGCCGCGGGGCUGUUUCUCAAAGAGCUCGGCCGUACCUGCCUCGGGGCUGCGCCCCGGCGCUACACCUGCCUGCACCAGGGCCGGAUUCAGCCCGCCGCGCUCCCUUUUCGCUCUGAAUAGCAAAACUCUUUUCCCACUGCAGGCCCCAGGAUGUGUGCAGCAGAUUAGCCUGCCUCUAGAUGGCUCCUGAUCGAGUUUCCUCUUCGGGGGAUUGUUUCUAUUGUGCUUGUCCUCCCCUUUGAGAAACCAGUGGCUGGAAGGCUGCCUCCCACACCUGACAAAUCAACAGGAUGCCUUGAAACCAUGUGAAAAUAACCUCUGGGGGCAGUUGAAGUUGGGCCCAGUUAAAACAGGAGGUAGAGGAGGCUUUCAUAAGGAGCCAACACCAGCCCCAGGCUGAAACAAAUUGAACCUGCAUGGAAACCUCGGGACAAACUGCAUCCCGCCGGCCUGGGCAGCAACGCUCCAGAAACGCGCUGCUAAACGCUGAGGCUUUGAUUCGAACCUGGCUUAUGGUGCUGAGACUAGAAUAGCAGCCCCUUGAGUGCAGCAAUAUCUGCUUUGCGGCUGAGCCUUCACAUGGACCCCAAGGAGCUCUCCUUGAAUGGAGUGUCUUAAUCAGUACAUAAAAUGCUUUCGGUGAAAUGCUGCCUUCUUCUGUUUAUUUGUCACAACCGAUGCUCCGGUGAACAGUAAAUAGCAGAUUUGUUGGCAAAUCAGCACUCUCAGCUCGGCUCAUUAGGAAGGUCUUCAGAAAGAGAAUGCUGCAUGAGUUGCCCUUUUAACUCACACUGGACCCUAACUUGUAAAAGCUCAGCAUGUUAUAUGAAGCCUGAAGACAUGUAAAUCUCUCCUGAACUGUGAACCUGUCAAAACCAAGAUAGAGUAUUUCGUUCCUAUAACUCUUAGGAAGGAGCUUUUGGUUAUUAAAGGGACACUCUCUGAUUAAAAUCCAUCUAUUUAAAAAAAAAAAA